AUACGGAGGAUCCGAGCGUUAUCCGGAUUUAUUGGGUUUAAAGGGUGCGCAGGCGGCCAUUUAAGUCAGCGGUUAAAUCGUGGGGCUCAACCCCAUUCUACCGUUGAUACUGGGUGGCUUGAUUGCGGUCGAGGUUGGCGGAAUUCGUUGUGUAGCGGUGAAAUGCAUAGAUAUGACGAAGAACACCGAUUGCGUAGGCAGCUGACCAGACCGCAAAUGACGCUCAUGCACGAAAGUGCGGGGAUCGAACAGGAUUAGAUACCCUGGUAGUCCGCACAGUAAACGAUGAAUACUUGUUUUCGGCGAUAUAAUGUCGGAGGCAAAGCGAAAGCGAUAAGUAUUCCACCUGGGGAGUACGCCGGCAACGGUGAAACUCAAAUGAAUUGACGGGG
rnacentral:rRNA from 1 species